rnacentral:misc_RNA from 1 species
AAAGUCGUAACAAGGUUUCCGUAGGUGAACCUGCGGAAGGAUCAUUAAUGAAAUACAAGGAUGCUCUUUUUAGAGGUCCAACCUAUUACAUUUCCACACACUGUGCACAAACUGCUUUUACACAUUUUAAACACAUAAAGUUAUUGAAUGUAACCGUCUCUUAAUUGAGCAUAACAUAAUAAAACUUUCGGCAACGGAUCUCUUGGCUCCC